AUUGAACGCUGGCGGCAGGCCUAACACAUGCAAGUCGAGCGAGCGGCGGACGGGUGAGUAAUGUAUGUGGACUGCCUGAUGGCGGGGGAUAACUACUGGAAACGGUAGCUACUACCGCAUACCAUCAGACAACCCAGAUGGGAUUAGCUAGUAGGUGGGGUAACGGCUUACCAAGGCGACGAUCCCUAGCUGGUCUGAGAGGCGUAUCAGCCCCACGGGGACGUAGACACGGACCAUAGUCCGACGGAGGCAGGAGUGGGGAGUAUUGCACAAUGGGGGAAAGCCUUGUGCAGCCAUGCAGCGUGUAUGAAGAAGGCCUGCGGGUUGUAAAGUACUUUCAGUCGGGAGGCGUUACCGACAGAAGAAGCACCGGCUAACUCCGUGCCAGCAGCCGCGGUAAUGC
rnacentral:rRNA from 1 species